ACACCCAGCUCCCCUGGCUCUAGCAGCACAGAAAUAUUGGCACUGGGAAGUGAGUCUGCCAAUAUUGGCUGUGCUGCUCCAGGCAGGGUGGUGA
rnacentral:pre_miRNA from 1 species